rnacentral:rRNA from 1 species
UGGGGAAUUUUGGACAAUGGGCGAAAGCCUGAUCCAGCAAUGCCGCGUGUGUGAAGAAGGCCUUCGGGUUGUAAAGCACUUUUGUCCGGAAAGAAAUCCUUGGCUCUAAUACAGUCGGGGGAUGACGGUACCGGAAGAAUAAGCACCGGCUAACUACGUGCCAGCAGCCGCGGUAAUACGUAGGGUGCAAGCGUUAAUCGGAAUUACUGGGCGUAAAGCGUGCGCAGGCGGUUUGCUAAGACCGAUGUGAAAUCCCCGGGCUCAACCUGGGAACUGCAUUGGUGACUGGCAGGCUAGAGUAUGGCAGAGGGGGGUAGAAUUCCACGUGUAGCAGUGAAAUGCGUAGAGAUGUGGAGGAAUACCGAUGGCGAAGGCAGCCCCCUGGGCCAAUACUGACGCUCAUGCACGAAAGCGUGGGGAGCAAACAGGAUUAGAUACCCUGGUAGUCCACGCCCUAAACGAUGUCAACUAGUUGUUGGGGAUUCAUUUCCUAGUAACGUAGCUAACGCGUGAAGUUGACCGCCUGGGGAGU